AUGUGCGCCGCCCGGCCCCAACUCCGGCGAUGCUCGGCCGACUCCCUCACCUCCUGCUGGCCUCCUUCAACUCAGGCCGAGUUCGCCUUGUUCACGUCCGACGGCCGCCGUGCUUGGCCCCAUCUGCAACGCCUCGAGGCGAGCUCGCCAUGGCUGCCUCGCCCACAGCCGGCAGCAGGGAGCCCUCGAGCUCUGCCGCGUGCAGCAGGGCAGCAGCAACGGCCUAGAGCUCCGCCGCGUGCAGCAGAGCAGCAGGGACGGCGCCGCCGAAGGCCGGCCGAUGCCCACAUCAGCUCCGGCGACGAGCUCGCCGGCGGGGACCUGAUUGCUUUUUAUUUUAUUUUUCAGGGACCCGAUUGCUUUUUAUUUUAA
rnacentral:rRNA from 1 species